ACAAAGUCUUAAUCCGGGGGUCCACAAGUAAGAGAAAGGUUUUUUACUCAGACAAUAUAGCCAGACAGACUUGAAUGCUAAUUGGUGUUAAGAUGUCUGUAGUUAAAAUAAAGUUGGGCCCAAUAAACUGGUAGAUCAAAGGCCUGUUGAGCGCUCAUGCCCGGUGUGAUUUUAACAAUUGACUCCAAAUGCGUUGACAAGAAAAUAAGUAAAACUGUUAUUGAAUGUGAUUGGUUGAUAAAAUCAACAUACUAUAGGCUACAUUUUGUCUGCGAUAUCAUCUCGGUGGAAGCGGACAUUAAAUGAAGUGAUUUCACACAAUUAAUUUAACAUUUAACAAAAUGCUGAAAUGAUUUUGGAGCAGUGAUAUGUUUGACAAAUGUAAGCUAAUGGUCACAUAGAAUACAAGACCGCAGAAUCACAUUAUGAUUAAAGCAGAAACGGCUCGACUUGAACCAGCAGGUAAGAAUCUGUUUUGAAAUAUAUCUUGGGAGGUUGGAUUGGCGUUGGAGACCCGAUUGGCGGCCAUUUUGAUUCUUGUUUCAUGAUUUUUUUAUAUUAUAACGAUUUUGCCAAGAGUAGACAUAAACGCGGGCACAGACUAGAAAAAAAUCUUUUUACACUUUUGUGUUAGUUGAAUUGUAAUCUAAUUUAUGUUUAAAAAAACAACCUUAAUAAGCAGACGGAAGAUAUGGACGAACAACAAGAAGUUAUGGAGGUCCCAACAACUGAACCUAUGGAAGUAGAAGAAUCGUUUACAGCCGAAACCCGAUACGAUGUGCCAGUUCCGGUCAUGGAGUCCUCCAUCUCAGACGAUGCCGACGUUAGUGUCUUCUGCGACGAAGAACCCGUAGUGGUGUAUACGCAGGUAGAAGCUGGUUCCUCCCGUGGCAAGUCCAAGUUGUUAGACAACCAAGGGUUUAGUUAUACAAUUAAGACAGAGAAGAAAACUACGAUUUGGAGGUGUUCCAAAAGAAGCGGACCAACACGAUGUCCGGCAACAGUAAUCCAAGAUGGUGAUACAUACCAACCAGGCUUAAAGAACCAUCUUCACCCAGCAGAACCCGGUAUACACACGGCUACCAAGAUAAAAGUUACACAUGAAAAAAAGGAAAUGUUUUUACCAAGUCAUGUUCCUCAAUAGCGGAGAGAGUUUUAUCCAGUGUUGGUUCUGCAGAAGAACCCAUUCAUAGCAGACCACCCAUGGCAGCACUUGUAAGGUCGCUACAAAGAACCCGACAGACUCUGCGACCAAAAGAUCCCACUGACGUGUCGUCAAGCCUUGACGAAGAUUUCAUCGAUCAUAGUGCACCGGGAUUUAAUCAAAAAAGAGUAAAAGUUGGGGAAAGGCGCCAUCACAUUUUUUGUACUGAUAGACAGAUGCAACUACUCGCACGCGCAUAAACUUGGAAUAUGGAUGCACCUUUUCGGGUGGUGAACAAGCCAUGGUCUCAGCUGUUUUCCAUCCACGCCUUCAUUAAGACUGGGGAGACCACCCGGCAGUUACCAUUGGUGUUUUGUGUAAUGUCGGGUAAAAGCCAAGACGACUAUUAUAAGUCAAUGAUGAUAUGUGACUCUUUCCACCUUCCAGCAAUAAUUAUUGAGAAUUUACCAAGGACUCCACUGGCAUUGAAUCGAAGAAAAACAGUUUCAAUAUUGGAUGUAUAUGCAAAUCACCCAGAAAAAGAUCAUGUAAUAACAAAAGAAAUUAUAAAAGAAAAAAAUGGAAGAAGAAAUGGCUGGAAAAAAUGAUGAUAGAGCAGCUUUUUCUUGUUACCCACCUCGGAAGAUCAAGUUGGAAAGGGCUAUUGAUAUUGUGGAGACGUUUUCUCACAGAUCUUGCUUAUCAGACAAAGACUAUGCUGGAACACCAUUGAAAGAGUAUUUGCUGUAUGAUAACAACAAGAAAACCCAAGCAUCAAUUUAUUUUAUACUUCUGGGAAAGAAUGCAUUUGACCCAAUUUUUAAAUAUUUAUUUUUUGUUAUUAAUGUUAAAUUUUCUUCCAAAACACAAUUAGAUUUUAAUUCUCUUCAGAAAUGUAUGUAUAAUAUAGCAAGUAAAGUGACAUAUAAAUCACUUAGAAUUUGGUCAGAAAUCAUAAAGUAUUUAAUAGGCAUUACUAGAAACCAAAUGUAGAUCAAAUACACCCAGAAUUACAAAAAACCUUGACCUACAUAAAGGUGACUUUCCCUUGCUUAUGAAAUGAAAUACGGUUUAGUAUCCUACUUUUCUGUGUUCUUAGAGUGAUUCUGCCCUACACCCUACUCUUAUAUCAAAUAUUUCAACUGUCAAGGGUUCUUUAACGGGAACCCGGGGGGGGGGGGGGGCAAUGAUUAACACGCACACAUUUGAUCAGGAAGUCUGUCAUUGAGUCAAAUAAUUCAAUUGUCAAGGGUUCUUCUAAGUGAACGCAGUGGGGAUGGUUUUGAUUCCGGGAAUGGGGGAGGGGGUGGUGGAUGGCCGAAUGGUAAGCACGUGCGUGCGGUAUCAUACGGCCUGUCAUUGAGUCAACUGGCGUGGUUUCGAAUCCCCGGUUGUACGUGACAAGAGUAGGGUCGCCUGUCCAAUCUUGUGGGUUUUCUCCGGGACCUCCGGUUUCCUCCCACUGCUAAAGACCCCUAUGCGCAACGAAUUAUUGAAAUAAAAUUAAACCAUAUGUUAAUCCCGAAAUGACCUAGUUUGUGUCAAGUGGACGUUAAACCCCAUUUCUCUCUCUCUCUCUUUCGAUUCCGGGCUUGUACCCAAUUAUCCCUUGCCAUAUCCAACACUACUGACAAGUGGGAACUAUGCCGGAAAAUCCAGUUGAAAUUUCUCGGCCAACACCUUAUACUCACUGAACCACUGUGGCUUAUGACUUGUGAUUGUAUAUAAAUUUUUUGUACAUAUGAUAUUUUUUUAUUUCAAUCCUGUAAUCUUGAUGCUUUGCUUCUUUUAUUUACAAAAUAUUCAUUUUGUUUGGGGUUUUUUUAAUGAGGAAAAGGUUUUACAUCAUUUUAUUACUCAUGCAAAAUAGUGCAUUUUUCAUUUGUUAGUUUUCUGUGUAUAUUAGUUAUUUCUAUAUGUCUCACAAAUCACUUGUAGUGUGAUUUUGUAGCACUUUUCAGUUUUUGAAAUUGUUUCAAUUUAGUGCAUAAUUAAUCUUAGUGCUUGGUUUGGAUGUUAUUAAAUUUAGAUAUUAUUUGAAUUAUAUAUUUUGGAGUAUGGGUUAGGGAUACUGUGUACAUAUCUUUAUAUUCUCAGUUCUUGUUUUGGGGUAAAGAACAAUUUAUAUAGCUAUUUUAUAUUUUGUGAUAGGUAAAGUGUGUGGGGUUAAGAACAAUUUAAAUAGCUAUGUUAUAUUUUGUGAUGGGUAAAGUGGGGUGUGUGUGUG